CCCCCCCUAAAAAUCACGAACAGCACUGUGGCUGCAGUAGAGUCAUUCAGGUUCCUGGGCUGCACCAUCUCUCAGGAUCUGAAGUGGGACAUUCACAUAGACUCUAUUGUGAAGAAAGCCCAGCAGAGACUGUACUUCUAUCGAAAUAGUCCGGACUGCUGAAUGAAUCACUGGUACUACCCUUCCUACACUUCAAGAACUGUACUCUUCCAGAGUUUAUGACAAGUAUCCUGACUUCAAUCUGAGCAGCAGAAAGAAAUUCAUUCGUGAGACUGUUAAAAAUAUGAUAUCCUGAAGUGAUGAGAAGAAAAUGCCUUAUUUA